UGUUCAAUGCGGGGAUCGAACCCGGGUCGUAGUGGUCGUAAACCAAACGGUUUAACCAGCCUUCAACCGACCC